UGUGGACAUGGUAAAUAUACUGCAGGGCUGAGUAGAGGAAACGAGGACAUGUGGCUGUGACUGAGGCUCACUGCUCUCUGAGGUGGAUUCACAGAUGGUUUCAGCCUGUAAAGAUCUUCUUCUUGUGUCGUCGUUGGCUGCUUUCAUUUUUCUGGGGCUGUGUCUGGUGCGUACACAUGGAGACGUGAUCAUCAAUCAUUUCAUCAUGUUCCCGUCAAGAUCUUCUGCUGCGACCAUCAGCGCCAUCACCAUCAUCAUCACCAUCACCAUCACCAUCACCAUCACCAUGGCAGUGACUGUCUUUGCUGCGUGGAUUUGGAAAUGUCGGGAGAUCAGUGAGUUGACUCAUCUGUCCCUGUAGGCUGUUGAUGUGAGGGGACGCUCUGCUCAGUCGGUGUCCUGUCUGUCUCCAGGACUGCACAGAGACACAUGAGACGAGUCUGUAUAAUAUUUGAUAUGAUGCAGCAGAGUGUCCUGCACUGUGUCUCCUGACUGCAACUUAAACAUACAACAUGUAAAACCUGAAUAAAAACUACCGAGACUACU